rnacentral:rRNA from 1 species
AUGACUUUAACUACACUUCCCUCAGAAGAGGUCCUCCAACACUUGACAAAACUUGACCGCUUGUUCAUCAAAUAUUGCUGGUGUCUCAGGUCAUUAGGGGGUUUACGAGCUGCUACCUCUCUUUCCGAUGUUAAACUGAUUUCCUGCCCUUCUUUAGAGUUGGCAUGUGGAGCAGAAUGUUUGCCAUUAUCCCUUCAGAGCCUGAGUAUAGACAAGUGUGUGCUUGCAGCUGACUUCCUGUGUGCUAAUUGGCCACACAUGCAUGAUAUUGAAAUAAGAAAAUGUAGAAGCGCCACAUGCUUGUCUGUUGGUAGUCUUACCUCUCUUAAAUCACUCUCACUGGAGCACUUGCCAGAUUUAUGUAUGCUCAAAGGAUUGUCUUCACUGGAACUUCACCAUGUACAAUUGAUCGAUGCUUGGAAACUCAACCUCAUGUGUAUCUCACAGUUUCGUGUCCAGUACACAUUCGUUGUGAGCAGCUCUACAAUACUCAACAACAUGCUUACGGCAGAAGGCUCCACGGUUCCAGCAUUUCUCUCUCUUGUAUCAUGCAAUGAAGAAUUCGUUUCAUUCGAAGCAUCCGCAAAUUUCACAUUUGUCAAGAGGCUUACGUUCCGGGAUUGUCUAAUGUUUUCCCUGCCAUAUCUGAAGUGCUUCUCCAAUUUGGAGCAUCUAGAUAUCUAUGACUGCCCCAACAUAUCAUCUUUACCAGAUCUGCCAUCCUCCCUCCAGCUCAUAAGCAUACGUUCUUGUGGUGAGCACUUGAUGGAAAGCUGCCAUGCACCUCAUGGAGAAAGUUGGCCAAAGAUCGCGCAUAUUCGCUGGAAGCUAUUUGAAUAA